rnacentral:lncRNA from 1 species
GCAACACCCGGCGAAGGAGCUGCGAUUUGUACUCUUGGGAUUUGUUUUUCUGAGAGAGGAGAGUCAAACUCCCAUCUGCAGUUCUCGAAGGAGCUUUUCUCUGGAGUACGGCAAAGAGACUUCUUUCUCUUCAGUUUAUCCAUAACAGGUAAGGACAGCUCUGAACGAGAAAGGAGUGAAAAAAAGUUAUUUUAUUCACUCUUUCAAGGGAGUUCAGAAAUAUUUCUGCAUUGCUGAGGUGAAGAAUACAGAUGAAAAUAACAACAACAAUAAUAAAAUAAGACUUUCACUGCUUUCAGAGAGAGCUUCCAACCUAGCCAAGCAGGCAAAGAAAGAGCAGUUAACGAGAACUUUGAGAGCAGGUAUUGACUUGUCCACAGUUAUAUAUCUUCAGUGACUAUUACAUUGCCUGACACAUAGUAGACAUUCAAUAAAUCAUUGAAUGAAUGAAUAUUAAAAAAAUGGCACGAUCUUGGUUAUUCAGGGUGGGGGAGGAUCCAAGAAAAGACUAAUGCUGGCUUUAGUAGUUAGAUGACUUCAGGACUGUAAAAUAAACAGGAAGAUGAAUGCAGAUACAAACUUUUUGAAAGUAAGGACCCUACCUAUUCCCCUAGGGAUUAUUUUACCUAGUAGUGAGUUUCUGCUAAAAUACAUUCUCUCUCCUUCCUCCCUAGUGUAUGGUGAAUGCUAAAUGUUAAAUAAAUUCAAACAGCAAUUUUUCAGGCAGUUCUGAGUGUGAGGCCUUCGGCUUUUGCAGAGGUCUGGCAUAAUUAACAAUAUACAGUGAGAUUAGAAUGUGUUAAAGACAACAAGAUUAUUUUAGUCUGAGAGAAAGUCGGGGUAGCUUCAGAAAACUGGUCACAUUGUGCCUAGUGGAACCUUAAAGGAUGCACGUGGUGUGGAUCAGAAAUGGCUGGAGGGUAGGGUGUUCUCCAGACAGAGAGAGAGUGGGUGAGGGGGUGCAGGGAAGUACUAGAACUGUUUGAGAUUGGAUGGUAACCCUGUGAGGCUGGACAAGAACUGAAAAGGUGAGUGUGAUGAGAAGACUGCGAAGGGUGUUGAAGGACAUGUGUACAAGUUUGGACUCUAUCCCAUGGUGUAAAGUGUGAUGUGCAGACCACCAGUGCAGGACUGCCUGGUACUGCUUUUAAAAUUUCAGGGUCCCACAAUCAUUAUAGGCCUACCGAAUCAGAGGGUGAAAUUUGCAUUUCAAAUUAGCUCCAGUUCAGAAAAGUGACUUGAAAAAUAAGAUUUGCAUUUUAGGAACUGGAGUUCUGAAGGCAGGCCUUAGAUGUUUGUUCCACUUAGCACACAGGCAGGAAGGUCAGCUAAGUGUCAUGAUCUAGAUUAGAGGGUUGGGUAAAGGGGACUCUGUGGAUGAAAAAAAAAAAUUCUACACUGAUGCUUUGGCAUGCACCUUUAAUCCCAGCAGUUUGGGAGGCUGAGGCAGGAGGAUCACAAGUUCAAAGCCAGCCUCAGCAAAAGCGAGGCACUUAAGCAACUCAGUGAGACCCUGCCUCUAAAUAAAAUACAAAAUAGGGCUGGGAAUGUGGCUCAGUGGUCAAGUGCCCCUGCAUUCAAUACCCAGUACCAAAAAAAAAGGAAUUUAAAAAAUAAAUAUACAUAAAAUAAAAAAAUUAUAUGUUUAUUUUCACUAACUUAAAUUAAAUGUAUUCAUUUGGUAACAAACCACAGUAGUAAUAGCAGGAACUGUAAUUUUGUCACAAAAAUAAAUCAUACCUCUUUUCAUAUUAUAGAUGUUACAGAUAUAUUAUUUAUGCUCAUUACAACCUCCAAAAUUAAGGUGGUUGUUCGACUCACUGCUUGAUCUUAUUUAAUGUGUUAAUAAAGAAGCACAUGAAUUAACGAAGCAUAGUUUUUCAAAAUAUAUUAAUGGCUAGAUUUCAAUAUAGACUAUCUCUCUUGUAACCUCACAUUUUUAUCUGAUAUAUGAGCUUUACCAUGCUGCCAAAGGGAUUUAUGGCACAAAAUAGAAAAGGAGCUUUGGACUAGGAAGACAUGUUGAAGGCAGGAACCAGAGGAAGCUGUGGAAAAGGAGGGCUGAGAAUUCAGGAGACAUUUUAAUGAGCCCUAGUAUUGAAGGGUGCCAGGACAUUUCAAAGGAUAAAGUGUUAAGACAGCAUCUGCUUAAAUGAGUGAAUAUUCAGUCUUGGAAAGAAAGCAAAAUAGAUACAGAGGGGAGGAAACAAGAGUAGUAGACAAAGGAAACAUAGGUUAUCUCCGAGGGGUGCAUGUUUUGUACUUGUCAGAAGACAGCUGAAAGGCCCAGGAGAACCCUGAAGACUAAUCAGGGUCUUAAUGGAGAUUUACAGACAAGCAGUUCUUGGAGACACAUUUAUCAAAUUCCCAAGAUGUUAGUCUCAAAUUUUAUUCUAAAUAUCUGUUUAAAAACAUAAAAGAUGGGAGGCAAGCAUGAUAAGUUUAUAAAUACUUUGGGAUGAGAGGCUAAUGACCUUAGAUAAGGUCAGCUAAUUGAAGAAGACUCAGAAAGGUAAAGUUUCUGAGGACCUAGAUGAAGAAAAGAUGCUAUUGCAACAGGUCUUUUCAAAUCAAGAUCUGCUGGCAACAGGCCACAGAUAAAUAUGGCAAAAAGAUGGGCAUAAGCAAACAGCUUGUGUGUAUCACACAAAGAAGGUAAAGAAGAAAUUGCGGCUAUUUAAGUCACUGUGCUAUGUCAGUUGUAAUUUGCACCACAUAUUCCUUCAUCUGCAGUAGUCAUCCUCCUAAAUAAUAGAAGCAUCUCAAGAGGAUAUAGUUAUGGACAAGUCUGGAGAGUCAGCUUGGAACCACAUCAAGGACAACUCUGAAGUCAGUGGAGCACCAUCUUGGGUUUUGAUCCACUUUUUGGAGGACUCAUCCAAUACCCAAUUCGUCAGCUUCUGAAGUCUGUGGCUGUUAACCUAGAUGAUAGACAAUGUGACCUUGGUACCUUGGUAGCAAGAAAGUACUCUAGAAGGGAUGGAUUAAUUUAUAAUGACUAUGAGUGGUUCAAACGUUGAAAAUAUUUUUUAACGAAAUGCUUAACAUUUCUCAGCGUUACCUUCUACAAUUUCUGGUUGAAAUCCAGUCAGCUCUAAUGCUUUGAAAACCAAUCAUAACACAAAUCCCUGGACAUAACCUUUACUUUAGGGAGUAGAUGAAAUGAGAUAUCUCUUCUGUUAUUAUUAGUAAGUACAAAUCAAUUUCAGCUGGAAACAGGAAAAAUGUGAACAUUUCAGAGUAAUCUCAGUAAAGCAAUAAAUGAUAUUGAAAAUGUGUUCAUAACCUUUUAAUAAUCAAUUUAAUGGAAAAAUAAAAUUUGGAAAGUAUUAUAUAGCAUGCUCAGUAUAUAAAAUAUGCACUUUUAUGAAAAACUUCAGUAAGCCCAACUAUAAUUUAAAAUCGGUAUUUUUUAUUUGAGUUUUUUUUUAAAAAAAUAAAAAUAUUUAUAAAAAUAAACCUGAAAGAAGUGUACUUAUUAAAAGUAUGCAGACAGUAUUAUUCAUUUGUUAUAGGUACCUCCAACCAAAAGUGAUUUGUUUUCUAGAUAUAAUAUUGGUGGGGUUUUUAUUAUUUGUAAUUACUAAAAUAAACUAUGAGAUUUUUCCUGAAACACAAAUUCAUUGUAAGAUAGCUACUACCAAAGUUAUUAUUUUCUUUCCAGUUUUGACUAUAUUCACCAGUCUAAUUUCAGCUAAUGAAUUUUCUAUUUAGAAACUAAGACAUGUUGCUUUUUAAUUUAAAAGGCUUACGGCCUCUGAAAGACUACAGAACAACCUGAUUCUCCCUUUACCCUUGGUCACUAGUCUAUAAUUUAGAGACAGAAGUUAAUUAAUAUUUGUGAAAGUAGUAAAUGAGCUAUUCUGGUUAGGCAGCAGGCAUUUAUAAUGUGUCUUCCAAUUUUGUCAAUUUACUGUUGGAAAACUGUUCCUCUACAAAAAUUGAGAUUCAAUCAAAGUACACAGAUUACUUAAAAGCAGCAUUUGAAAAGAAAUGGACAC